AGUAAAUAGAUACCCCGGUAGUCCACGCCCUAAACGAUGUCAACUAGGUGUUGGGUGGGUAAAACCAUUUAGUACCGGAGCUGACGCGUGAAAGUUGACCGCCUGGGGAGUACGGCCGCAAGGUUAAAACUCAAAGGAAUUGACGGGGACCCGCACAAGCGGUGGAUGAUGUGGAUUAAUUCGAUGCAACGCGAAAAACCUUACCUACCCUUGACAUGCCAGGAACUUGCCAGAGAUGGCUUGGUGCCCGAAAGGGAGCCUGGACACAGGUGCUGCAUGGCUGUCGUCAGCUCGUGUCGUGAGAUGUUGGGUUAAGUCCCGCAACGAGCGCAACCCUUGUCGUUAAUUGCCAUCAUUUGGUUGGGCACUUUAACGAGACUGCCGGUGACAAACCGGAGGAAGGUGGGGAUGACGUCAAGUCCUCAUGGCCCUUAUGGGUAGGGCUUCACACGUCAUACAAUGGUCGGUACAGAGGGUUGCCAAGCCGCGAGGCGGAGCCAAUCCCAGAAAGCCGAUCGUAGUCCGGAUCGUAGGCUGCAACUCGCCUG
rnacentral:rRNA from 1 species